rnacentral:rRNA from 1 species
CAGCCGCCACGGUAAUACGUAGGUGGCAAGCGUUGUCCGGAAUUAUUGGGCGUAAAGGGCUCGCAGGCGGUUUCUUAAGUCUGAUGUGAAAGCCCCCGGCUCAACCGGGGAGGGUCAUUGGAAACUGGGAAACUUGAGUGCAGAAGAGGAGAGUGGAAUUCCACGUGUAGCAGUGAAAUGCGUAGAGGCGUGGAGGAACACCAGUGGCGAAGGCGACUCUCUGGUCUGUAACUGACGCUGAGGAGCGAAAGCGUGGGGAGCGAACAGGAUUAGAUACCCGCGUAGUCCCUGUCUCUUAUAC